rnacentral:rRNA from 1 species
AGUAGCAAAACGCUAAAAAGAAAUGGGAAAAAAAAUGGGUUUAGAACGUCGUGAGACAGUUCGGUCCCUAUCUGCCGUGGGCGCUGGAGAACUGAGGGGGGCUGCUCCUAGUACGAGAGGACCGGAGUGGACGCAUCACUGGUGUUCGGGUUGUCAUGCCAAUGGCACUGCCCGGUAGCUAAAUGCGGAAGAGAUAAGUGCUGAAAGCAUCUAAGCACGAAA